GCAGUCGAACGCUGAAGCACCUUCGGGUGUGGAUGAGUGGCGAACGGGUGAGUAACACGUGGGUAAUCUGUCCUGUACUCUGGGAUAAGCCCUGGAAACGGGGUCUAAUACCGGAUAUGACUUCGCACCGCAUGGUGUGGGGUGGAAAGUUCUGGCGGUACAGGGUGAGCCCGCGGCCUAUCAGCUUGUUGGUGGGGUGAUGGCCUACCAAGGCGACGACGGGUAGCCGGCCUGAGAGGGUGACCGGCCACACUGGGACUGAGACACGGCCCAGACUCCUACGGGAGGCAGCAGUGGGGAAUAUUGCACAAUGGGCGCAAGCCUGAUGCAGCGACGCCGCGUGGGGGAUGACGGCCUUCGGGUUGUAAACCUCUUUCGCCAGGGACGAAGCGUAAGUGACGGUACCUGGAGAAGAAGCACCGGCUAACUACGUGCCAGCAGCCGCGGUAAUACGUAGGGUGCGAGCGUUGUCCGGAAUUAUUGGGCGUAAAGAGCUCGUAGGCGGUUUGUUGCGUCGGCCGUGAAAACUGGAGGCUUAACCUUCAGCUUGCGGUCGAUACGGGCAGACUUGAGUUCGGUAGGGGAGACUGGAAUUCCUGGUGUAGCGGUGAAAUGCGCAGAUAUCAGGAGGAACACCGGUGGCGAAGGCGGGUCUCUGGGCCGAUACUGACGCUGAGGAGCGAAAGCGUGGGGAGCGAACAGGAUUAGAUACCCUGGUAGUCCACGCUGUAAACGUUGGGCGCUAGGUGUGGGUG
rnacentral:rRNA from 1 species